AAAACAUUCUGCAGCUGCGGCUGCAGCUGAAGCAGGAGGCUUAACUACAUGUAAUUCAAUUGCUGCCUGCUUAGAAUCGAAUAAACUAUAAUGGUUACUUGCCUUUCAUGCGCUGUCAAUACUCCCUCUACAAGAACUCCAUUUUUUAGCUCUUAUGGUCGCACCAGUAAUCCCAAGUUUGGUUCUCACGAAGCUCUCAUCUUAAUUCAGAAGUGCUCUAAUUUCAGUCAUCUCAAGCUUAUUCACGCUAGGAUCAUUCGCAAUGGCCUGUCUAAUGAUCAAUUGCUUGUUAGAAAAU
rnacentral:misc_RNA from 1 species